rnacentral:rRNA from 1 species
CUGAAUAACUACAGCUGAUCGCACAGUCUUUGUACUGGCGACAAAUCUUUCAAGUGUCUGCCUUAUCAGCUGUCGAUGGUAGUCUACGUGGCUACCAUGGCUGUAACGGGUAACGGAGAAUAAGGGUUCGACUCCGGAGAGGGAGCCUGAGAAACGGCUACCACAUCCAAGGAAGGCAGCAGGCGCGCAAAUUACCCACUCUCGGCAUGAGGAGGUAGUGACGAAAAAUAACGAGGUGGUUCUCUAUGAGGCCCACUAUCGGAAUGGGUACAAUUUAAACCCUUUAACGAGGACCUAUGAGAGGGCAAGUCUGGUGCCAGCAGCCGCGGUAAUUCCAGCUCUCAAGGUGUAUAUCGCCAUUGCUGCGGUUAAAAA